GAGCUUGCUCUGUGGGAUCAGUGGCGAACGGGUGAGUAACACGUGAGCAACCUGCCCCUGACUCUGGGAUAAGCGCUGGAAACGGCGUCUAAUACUGGAUAUGUGACGUGACCGCAUGGUCUGCGUCUGGAAAGAAUUUCGGUUGGGGAUGGGCUCGCGGCCUAUCAGCUUGUUGGUGAGGUAAUGGCUCACCAAGGCGUCGACGGGUAGCCGGCCUGAGAGGGUGACCGGCCACACUGGGACUGAGACACGGCCCAGACUCCUACGGGAGGCAGCAGUGGGGAAUAUUGCACAAUGGGCGCAAGCCUGAUGCAGCAACGCCGCGUGAGGGACGACGGCCUUCGGGUUGUAAACCUCUUUUAGCAGGGAAGAAGCGAAAGUGACGGUACCUGCAGAAAAAGCGCCGGCUAACUACGUGCCAGCAGCCGCGGUAAUACGUAGGGCGCAAGCGUUAUCCGGAAUUAUUGGGCGUAAAGAGCUCGUAGGCGGUUUGUCGCGUCUGCUGUGAAAUCCGGAGGCUCAACCUCCGGCCUGCAGUGGGUACGGGCAGACUAGAGUGCGGUAGGGGAGAUUGGAAUUCCUGGUGUAGCGGUGGAAUGCGCAGAUAUCAGGAGGAACACCGAUGGCGAAGGCAGAUCUCUGGGCCGUAACUGACGCUGGGGAGCGAAAGGGUGGGGAGCAAACAGGCUUAGAUACCCUGGUAGUCCACCCCGUAAACGUUGGGAACUAGUUGUGGGGUCCAUUCCACGGAUUCCGUGACGCAGCUAACGCAUUAAGUUCCCCGCCUGGGGAGUACGGCCGCAAGGCUAAAACUCAAAGGAAUUGACGGGGACCCGCACAAGCGGCGGAGCAUGCGGAUUAAUUCGAUGCAACGCGAAGAA
rnacentral:rRNA from 1 species